CAAACAAUGUAGCCAGUCUUUUUGGGGGGUUGUCUAUUUUCUAACAAUGAGUCUUUUUGGGGGGUUGUCUAUUUUCUAACAAUGAGGCCAGUCUUUUUGGGGGGAUUGUCUAUUUUCUAACAAUUAGUCUUUUUGAGGGGGUUGUCUAUUUUCUAACAAUUAGUCUUUUUGAGGGGGUUGUCUAUUUUCUAACAAUGUAGCCAAUUUUCAAACAAUGUAGCCAGUCUUUUUGGGGGGUUGUCUAUUUUCUAACAAUGUAGCCAGUCUUUUGGGGGGUUGUCUAUUUUCUAACAAUGUAGCCAAU
ensembl:lncRNA